AACUUUUAAAUACGUGAAACGAAACAAAUUAGACCCACAACGGCGGCUCCCGUGAUAUAAUUCUUCUAGGUCUCCUUCACUCUGCUCCCAUCGUUGAGUUCUUGCUAGCCUUUGGAAUCCUCUGCUAAUGGUGCCUUAUCCGUCGAUUGUUUCUUUUCUGCCUUUGAUACUGUCGUAGACAAGAAGGAUUGAGAAAGCAAAGUUGCGACUUGGGACGAGAAGGCUACAGACGAUAUAUUAUUUAAAAUUAAGAUAAGAUUUCCUUCUGAAGUUUGAUGUCUCCACUGAUUCGAAUAUGAAGUCUUUCGAUCUCUCUUUCUCUGCUACAUUUAGGGUUACAUUUAGAUUGUGCUGGUUAUGGAGCUCAAUUUAGAGGGAAUUUAUUACUUAAAGUUGGAAUUCUGCAAUAAUUAGUGGUAUUAGCCAUUAUUUGAUCAUCACCUUGGACAAUCUUUUUCUAGCAAGUCAGGAGAUUAUCAAAUGAGUAGGCACUCAAACGACAUGGGGAGGAAGCUCCUAAAAGAAAGUAGCAAAAGGAGUGGAAACAGAGCCGAAGAAGUGAAAAUAUCUCUUGUCCCAAUAUUAGUUUGAAUCCAACAAUGUUUAAUUGUAAAGAUGUAUAGCUAUUCACAAUUUUAUUCUUGUAUAGGGAUCUUAUGUUUGCAAAUAUUUUAUUUUUGUUUAAAUUGUCUAUAGUGAAUGACAUUUGUAAGUACAAUUUGAA